GUGUAAAAUGUCCAGCAACUAGAAUUCAAUGAAAUUGUUCUUAUUUUAUUUGAGAUCUUCUGACAGGAUGAACAGUGUCAAAAACUGAAUGAAAUCCAAGUUUAGUUUUAUCAUACAAAGAAAAUAUACAGUUUUCUGCAAUGGAAAUUGAUUUUAAUUCCUGCAAUUCAAUAUUCUGCAAGAUUCAGCCUCUAGUUUAGGAAAAAUGAAUAAUGUUCACAUUUUAUAAUCAGGUUUUACUGUCAUCCAUUUAUAUAUUCCCAGAUGCUAUAUUUUAAUGGUGACUUUAACUCUUAAAAUAAGCCAUGUACAUUUUCC